rnacentral:rRNA from 1 species
GAUGAACGCUGGCGGCGUGCCUAAUACAUGCAAGUCGAGCGAACGGACGAGAAGCUUGCUUCUCUGAUGUUAGCGGCGGACGGGUGAGUAACACGUGGAUAACCUACCUAUAAGACUGGGAUAACUUCGGGAAACCGGAGCUAAUACCGGAUAAUAUUUUGAACCGCAUGGUUCAAAAGUAAAAGACGGUCUUGCUGUCACUUAUAGAUGGAUCCGCGCUGCAUUAGCUAGUUGGUAAGGUAACGGCUUACCAAGGCAACGAUGCAUAGCCGACCUGAGAGGGUGAUCGGCCACACUGGAACUGAGACACGGUCCUGACUCCUACGGGAGGCAGCAGUAGGGAAUCUUCCGCAAUGGGCGAAAGCCUGACGGAGCAACGCCGCGUGAGUGAUGAAGGUCUUCGGAUCGUAAAACUCUGUUAUUAGGGAAGAACAUAUGUGUAAGUAACUGUGCACAUCUUGACGGUACCUAAUCAGAAAGCCACGGCUAACUACGUG